CCGAUGGAAGAUUUUUCAUAGUCGAAUCCUGCAGACCUAACGACCCAGCGAACAUGUUUUCUAUGCCCUGGGGCUUGCCGGGGAAUUUUGUCCUUGAGGAACAUUUGUUCUCGGGUUCUGUAAUAACAAAAACGGCGCGGGUAGCGCCAAGAAUCACGCAAAUAUUUUGCCCCGGGCGGUGCGAACCCCGCUCGCGGGUGACUUGCCGCGUGCGGCGGCGACAUGAUCGUUUAACCAAAACGACUCUCGGCAACGGAUAUCUAGGCUCUCGCAUCGAUGAAAAACGUACCGAAAUGCGAUACUUGAUGUGAAUUGCAAAAUCCCGUGAACCAUCGAGUUUUUGAACGCAAGUUGCGCCCAAAGCCCAUUGGGCCGAGGGCACGUCUGCCUGGGCGUCACGCAUCGCGUCGCCACCCCUGUAUCGAGUUAGGCGCGGGUGACGGAUGUUGGCCUCCCGUGCAACGAAUGUUGCUCGGUUGG
rnacentral:misc_RNA from 1 species